rnacentral:lncRNA from 1 species
CACCAGGCGGAGGUUCUGCCUGGCGUCCCGCGUCUCCUCUUCACUUGGGAAUUUCCCCGUUCCGUGGGCAACAAAGAUCAGUCUGGAAAUGCAGCUCAGACUCACCUCUCCGCGGACACAAGAGAGCUCCAAUCCUGGGUUGUUCUCACAGAGCCAUCUUCACCAUUCUGUUUGUUCUAAGGCUUAUGCCUUAAAUCACCCACUGUCAUUUAGUGGAGUGGAACUCAAGUACUAUCUUUUCUUUAUCCAUUCGUGUGUUUAUGGACACUUAGGUUGGUUCCAAGUCUUAGCUAUUGUGAACAGUGCUGCAAUAAACAUGGGAGUCCAGAUAUCUCUUUGGUAUAUUGACUUCCUUUCUUUUUGGGUAUAUGCGCAGCAGUGGGAUUGCUGGAUCAUAUAAUAGCUUUAUUUUCAGUUUCUUUGAGGAAUCUCCAAACUGUUCUGCAUAGUAUUUGUACUAAUUUACAUCCCCACCAACAGUGUACAAGGGUUUCCUUUUCUCCAAAUCCUUGACAGCAUUUAUUACUGCCUGUCAUUUGGAUAAAAGCCAUAUUAACUGGAGUGAAAUGAUAGCUCAUUCCAGACUUAAAAAAAUUUUUUUUUGUCACCUAGGCAGGAAUACAGUGACGCAAUCUCUGCUCAUGGCAAUCUCUGUCUCCCAGGUUCAAGCGGUUCUACCGAACACUGUUUCAAGAAGGACCUCAAAGGUGUCCAUGUGCUUAAAAAGGGGCACGGCAUAUGUGUCUCUGGUCCUACCAGGGCCAGCCUGCUGCCAUGGUUGGAGAUGCCAGUUGAUACAUCUAAAGCCAGAUCUGACCUUCUCACUUUCUUACUUAAAACCAUCAACAAUAUUUAUUUCUGUAAAGCCAGGAUGUAACUUCAACUGUCUUCACAGCCAGGCUUUCAUUUGGUCUCUUUUUGAAUCAGAAGACCCAGAAAACUUGGAUCCACUUCUGGCUCUGAUCCUUCUUGGCAGCAUGAUUUGGAACAAGAGUGCUGACACGAAGUGCCAGAAGCCAUGCUUGCUGGGAUUGAGAAUAUCGUAUUUAUGGUUUGAGCGCCUGAUGGUGUGA